AAAUUGAAGAGUUUGAUCAUGGCUCAGAUUGAACGCUGGCGGCAGGCCUAACACAUGCAAGUCGAACGGUAACAGGAAGCAGCUUGCUGCUUCGCUGACGAGUGGCGGACGGGGUGGGUAAUGUCUGGGAAACUGCCUGAUGGAGGGGGAUAACUACUGGAAACGGUGGCUAAUACCGCAUAACGUCGCAAGACCAAAGAGGGGGACCUUCGGGCCUCUUGCCAUCAGAUGUGCCCAGAUGGGAUUAGCUUGUUGGUGAGGUAACGGCUCACCAAGGCGACGAUCCCUAGCUGGUCUGAGAGGAUGACCAGCCACACUGGAACUGAGACACGGUCCAGACUCCUACGGGAGGCAGCAGUGGGGAAUAUUGCACAAUGGGCGCAAGCCUGAUGCAGCCAUGCCGCGUGUAUGAAGAAGGCCUUCGGGUUGUAAAGUACUUUCAGCGGGGAGGAAGGUGUUGUGGUUAAUAACCGCAGCAAUUGACGUUACCCGCAGAAGAAGCACCGGCUAACUCCGUGCCAGCAGCCGCGGUAAUACGGAGGGUGCAAGCGUUAAUCGGAAUUACUGGGCGUAAAGCGCACGCAGGCGGUCUGUCAAGUCGGAUGUGAAAUCCCCGGGCUCAACCUGGGAACUGCAUUCGAAACUGGCAGGCUUGAGUCUUGUAGAGGGGGGUAGAAUUCCAGGUGUAGCGGUGAAAUGCGUAGAGAUCUGGAGGAAUACCGGUGGCGAAGGCGGCCCCCUGGACAAAGACUGACGCUCAGGUGCGAAAGCGUGGGGAGCAAACAGGAUUAGAUACCCUGGUAGUCCACGCCGUAAACGAUGUCUACUUGGAGGUUGUGCCCUUGAGGCGUGGCUUCCGGAGCUAACGCGUUAAGUAGACCGCCUGGGGAGUACGGCCGCAAGGUUAAAACUCAAAUGAAUUGACGGGGGCCCGCACAAGCGGUGGAGCAUGUGGUUUAAUUCGAUGCAACGCGAAGAACCUUACCUGGUCUUGACAUCCACAGAACUUUCCAGAGAUGGAUUGGUGCCUUCGGGAACUGUGAGACAGGUGCUGCAUGGCUGUCGUCAGCUCGUGUUGUGAAAUGUUGGGUUAAGUCCCGCAACGAGCGCAACCCUUAUCCUUUGUUGCCAGCGAUUAGGUCGGGAACUCAAAGGAGACUGCCAGUGAUAAACUGGAGGAAGGUGGGGAUGACGUCAAGUCAUCAUGGCCCUUACGACCAGGGCUACACACGUGCUACAAUGGCGCAUACAAAGAGAAGCGACCUCGCGAGAGCAAGCGGACCUCAUAAAGUGCGUCGUAGUCCGGAUUGGAGUCUGCAACUCGACUCCAUGAAGUCGGAAUCGCUAGUAAUCGUGGAUCAGAAUGCCACGGUGAAUACGUUCCCGGGCCUUGUACACACCGCCCGUCACACCAUGGGAGUGGGUUGCAAAAGAAGUAGGUAGCUUAACCUUCGGGAGGGCGCUUACCACUUUGUGAUUCAUGACUGGGGUGAAGUCGUAACAAGGUAACCGUAGGGGAACCUGCGGUUGGAUCACCUCCUUACCUUAAAGAA
rnacentral:rRNA from 1 species